rfam:Operophtera brumata OBRT01_Sc01059, whole genome shotgun sequence.
UGUUCUAUGGCCGAACUGGUAAAGGAAUUGCCGAUCACAGGCAAGGUUGCGGGUUAGAGUCCUGCUGGAACGG